rnacentral:rRNA from 1 species
GACGAACGCUGGCGGCGUGCCUAAUACAUGCAAGUUGAGCGCUGAAGGUUGGUACUUGUACCAACUGGAUGAGCAGCGAACGGGUGAGUAACGCGUGGGGAAUCUGCCUUUGAGCGGGGGACAACAUUUGGAAACGAAUGCUAAUACCGCAUAAAAACUUUAAACACAAGUUUUAAGUUUGAAAGAUGCAAUUGCAUCACUCAAAGAGGAUCCCGCGUUGUAUUAGCUAGUUGGUGAGGUAAAGGCUCACCAAGGCGAUGAUACAUAGCCGACCUGAGAGGGUGGUCGGCCACAUUGGGACUGAGACACGGCCCAAACUCCUACGGGAGGCAGCAGUAGGGAAUCUUCGGCAAUGGACGAAAGUCUGACCGAGCAACGCCGCGUGAGUGAAGAAGGUUUUCGGAUCGUAAAACUCUGUUGGUAGAGAAGAACGUUGGUGAGAGUGGAAAGCUCAUCAAGUGACGGUAACUACCCAGAAAGGGACGGCUAACUACGUG